rnacentral:rRNA from 1 species
GGGUCAGUAGGUUGGUCGUGCCACCGGUACGUACUGGUCUCACUGAUUCCUCCUUCCUGAAGAACCGGAAUGCCAUUAAUUUGGUGUUGCGGGGAAACAGGACUGUUACUUUGAAAAAAUUAGAGUGUUUAAAGCAAGCUAACGCUUGAAUACAUUAGCAUGGAAUAAUGAAAUAGGACGAUCGAUCCUAUUUUGUUGGUUUCUAGGAUUGACGUA